UAGGGAAUCUUCGGCAAUGGGGGCAACCCUGACCGAGCAACGCCGCGUGAGUGAAGAAGGUUUUCGGAUCGUAAAGCUCAGUUGUAAGAGAAGAACGUGUGUGAGAGUGGAAAGUUCACACAGUGACGGUAACUUACCAGAAAGGGACGGCUAACUACGUGCCAGCAGCCGCGGUAAUACGUAGGUCCCGAGCGUUGUCCGGAUUUAUUGGGCGUAAAGCGAGCGCAGGCGGUUUAAUAAGUCUGAAGUUAAAGGCAGUGGCUUAACCAUUGUUCGCUUUGGAAACUGUUAAACUUGAGUGCAGAAGGGGAGAGUGGAAUUCCAUGUGUAGCGGUGAAAUGCGUAGAUAUAUGGAGGAACACCGGUGGCGAAAGCGGCUCUCUGGUCUGUAACUGACGCUGAGGCUCGAAAGCGUGGGGAGCAAACAGG
rnacentral:rRNA from 1 species